rnacentral:rRNA from 1 species
GACGAACGCUAGCGGCGUGCCUAAUACAUGCAAGUAGAACGCUGAAGCGAGGAGCUUGCUCUUCUUGGAUGAGUUGCGAACGGGUGAGUAACGCGUAGGUAACCUGCCUUGUAGCGGGGGAUAACUAUUGGAAACGAUAGCUAAUACCGCAUAACAAUAGGUGACACAUGUCAUUUAUUUGAAUGGGGCAAUUGCUCCACUACAAGAUGGAUCUGCGUUGUAUUAGCUAGUAGGUGAGGUAACGGCUCACCUAGGCGACGAUACAUAGCCGACCUGAGAGGGUGAUCGGCCACACUGGAACUGAGACACGGCCCAGACUCCUACGGGAGGCAGCAGUAGGGAAUCUUCGGCAAUGGGGGCAAGCCUGACCGAGCAACGCCGCGUGAGUGAAGAAGGUUUUCGGAUCGUAAAGCUCUGUUGUAAGUCAAGAACGGGUGUGAGAGUGGAAAGUUCACACUGUGACGGUAGCUUACCAGAAAGGGACGGCUAACUACGU